CUAUCUGAAGAUGGUCUCAAGCCCUUCAGCUACAAGAAGAUGAUCGUCCUGUGAGACCAAAGCUGGAAGAAUCCCAACAUGUGGAUCAUGUGGAUGUGAAGGGAUCAAACUGAAGGGUGGAGCUGCUGGAGGGACUGAGUGAUGGAGCUGAGGCUGAUGUUGAUCUUUGGGUCUUAAAUCUGGUCUUUGGGAGUCGAACUCUUCAGACUGUGCUUGAAAAUUUGAUGCAUUUUUUUCCAUUCCUGUUGUCUUCACUGCAGCAGCUGCCUGCAUCAAUCCAACAACAAAUUGGAAACUUUCUGGAAUCUCAUCUUUAUUGUUAUCAAUGUUUUAUUAAUAUAAAUGAAACUUUGACCUCUUGUGUGUCUCUCUCUUGAGUGGUCUGUCAUCCGACAGGUCCGGCAUCAGUCAGUACUCUCCAGUCAUACCUCCUCUGUGCCAUGCUCUUCAUUUGUUGGUAGCUCCUUCCUUGUUGUAUGUUGUCCAGCACCAUGGCUCUCUUCCUGCCCCUCCGUCUUCUCCCUUCAAAUUUUCCUUCGAUGGUAUCAUGCAGUAGCCCUUCACUUCUCAGGAUAUGCCCAAUCCAUCUCGCCUUCCUCCUCCAGAUGGACUGAAUUAGCUUUCGUUGUUCAUUAACUCUGCUCCACACUUCUUCAUUCGUUACUCUUUCCGUCCAGCUGAUCCUCUCCAUCCUUCUCCACAUCCACAUCUCGCAACCUUCCAGCCUCUUAAUUUCCACCCUCCUCAGUGUCCACGUUUCGGAUCCGUACGUCAACACACUCCAAACUAAGGUCUUGACUGUCCUUUUCUUUAGGCUCUUGUCAAAGUUUUUGAUAAGCAGGAUCUUGUGUCUGUUGAAUGCCUCUUUCACCAUCGCUAUUCCAGCCUUAACCUCUCUCGCGCUCCGUCCAUCUUCUGUUAUAAGACUUCCUAGAUACUUGAACUGCUUGACUUGUUCGAGUGCGCUUCCGUUGAUGGUAAUUCUCAUUUCCCCUCCCUCUCUUCCACUGACCUUCAUUAGUUUGCUCUUGUUUUGAUUGAUUCUCUUGUGUGUCAACAACUCUGAAAUUCUUCAGGCUUUAACGUUGACUUUAGUAACUGUUUAUCAUUUAUUAAUCUAAAGUCCAGAUCAUGUGUGUCUUUUACCUUGUUCUUUAUGGCACUUUGUGAUUUUUGUCUGUCAAAAGGGCUUCAUGAAUAAACUUUACUCACCAACUUG